rnacentral:lncRNA from 1 species
UUUUUUAUUGGUGUUCAAUUUACUAACAUACAGAAUAACCCCCAGUGCCCGUCACCCAUUCACUCCCAACCCCCGCCCUCCUCCCCUUCUACCACCCCUAGUUCGUUUCCCAGAGUUAGCAGUCUUUACGUUCUGUCUCCCUUUCUGAUAUUUCACCACACAUUUCUUCUCCCUUCCCCUUAUAUUCCCUUUCACUAUUAUUUAUAUUCCCAAAUGAAUGAGAAGAUAUUAAUGUUUGUCCUUCUCCGACUGGACUUACUUCACUCAGCAUUAAUACCCUCCAGUUCCAUCCACGUGAAGCACAUGGUGGGUAUUUGUCAUUUUAAUAGCUGAGUAAUAUUCCAUUGUAUACAUAAACCACAUCUUCUUUAUCCAUUCAUCUUUCGUUGGACAACCGAGGCUCCUUCCACAUUUUGGCUCUGGGCCAUUGCUGCUAUAAACACGGGGUGCAGGUGUCCCGGCGUUUCAUUGCAUUUGUAUCUUUGGGGUUAAAUCCCCAACAGUGCAAUUGCUGGGUCGUAGGGCAGGUAUUUUUUAACUGUUUGAGGGAACCUCCACACAGUUUUCCAGAGUGGCUGUACCAGUUCAAUUCCCACCAACAGUGUAAGAGGGUUCCCUUUUCUGCCGCAUCCUCUCCAACCCUUUUGUUGUUUCCUGCCUUGUAAUUUUCCCCAUUCUCACUGGGUGUUGAGGUUGUAUCUCAUUGUAGUUUGAUUUGUAUUUCCCUGAUGGCAAGUGAUGCAGCACUUUCUCAUAUGCAGUUGGCAUGUCUAUGUCUUCCUCUGUGAGAUUUCUGUUCAUGUCUUUUGCCCAUUUCAUGAUUGGAUUGUUGUUUCUUUGCUGUUGAGUUUAAUAAGUUCUUUAUAGAUCUGGAAACUAGCCCUUUAUCUGAUAUGUCAUUUGCAAAUAUCUUCUCCCUUCUGUAGGUUGUUUGAGUUUUGUGGACUGUAUCCUUUGCUGUGCAAAAGCUCUUAUCUUGAUGAAGUCCAAUAGUUCAUUUUUGCUUUGUUUCUUUUGUCUUCGUGGAUGUAUCUUGCAAAGAAGUUACUAUGGCCGAGUCAAAAAGGGUGUUGCCUGUGUUCUUCUCUAGGAUUUUGAUGGAAUCUUGUCUCACAUUUAGAUCUUUAAAUCCAUUUUGAGUUUAUCUUUGUGUAUGGUGAAAGAGAAGUGGUCUAGCUUCAUUCUUCUGCAUGUGGAUGUCCAAUUUUCCCACCACCAUUUAUUGAAGAGACUGUCUUUCUUCCAAUGGAUAUCUUUCCUUCUUUAUCGAAUAUUAGUUGGCCAUAAAGUUCAGGGUCCACUUCUGGGUUCUCUAUUCUCUUCCAUUGAUCUAUGUGUCUGUUUUUGUGCCAGGACCACACUGUCUUGAUGACCACAGCUUUGUAGUACAACCUGAAAUCUGGCAUUGUGAUGCCCCCAGAUAUGGUUUUCUUUUUUAAAAUUCCCCUGGCUAUUCGGGGUCUUUUCUGAUUCCACACAAAUCUCAAAAUAAUUUGUUCUAACUCUCUGAAGAAAGUCCAUGGCAUUUUGAUAGGGAUUGCAUUAAAAGUGUAAAUUGCCCUGGGUAACAUUGACAUUUUCACAAUAUUAAUUCUGCCAAUCCAUGAGCAUGGAAUAUUUUUCCAUCUCUUUGUGUCUUCCUCAAUUUCUUUCAGAAGUGUUCUAUAGUUUUUAGGGUAUAGAUCCUUUACCUCUUUGGUGAGGUUUAUUCCUAGGUAUCUUAUGCUUUUGGGUGCAAUUGUAAAUGGGAUUGACUCCUUAAUUUCUCUUUCUUCAGCAUCAUUCUUAGUGUAUAGAAAUGCCAUUGAUUUCUGGGCAUUGAUUUUGUAUCCUACCACGCUACCAAAUUGCUGUAUGAGUUCUAUCAAUCUUGGGUGGAGGCUUUUGGGUUUUCUAUGUAGAGUAUCAUGUCAUCGGUGAAGAGGGAGAGUUUGACCUCUUCUUUGCCAAUUUGAAUGCUUUUAAUGUCUUUUUGUUUCCUGAUUGCUGAGGCUAGGACUUCCAAUACUAUGUUGAAUAGCAGUGGUUAGAGUGGACAUCCCUGUCUUGUUCCUGAUCCUAGGGGAAAGGCUCCCAGUGCUUCCCCAUUGAGAAUGAUAUUUGCUGUGGGCUUUUCGUAGAUGGCUUUUAAGAUGUCGAGGAAUGUUCCCUC